UAGUGUAGGAUGCCCUCCUGCUGGAUGG
rnacentral:sRNA from 1 species